rnacentral:rRNA from 1 species
CAGCAGCCGCGGUAAACGUAGGACGCAAGCGUUAUCCGGAUUUAUUGGGCGUAAAGGGCGUCUAGGCGGCGUCUUAAGUUGGGCGUGAAAUCUUCCGGCUCAACCGGAAAAAUGCGUUCAAUACUGGGAUGCUUGAGGGCAGCAGAGGAAGGUGGAAUUCCCGGU